rnacentral:rRNA from 1 species
UACAGAGGGUGCAAACGUUGUUCGGAAUUACUGGGCGUAAAGCGCGUGUAGGCGGCCAUCUAAGUCGGGCGUGAAAUCCCACGGCUCAACCGUGGAAGUGCACUCGAAACUGGAUGGCUAGAGUCCUGGAGAGGAAGGUGGAAUGCUUGGUGUAGAGGUGAAAUUCGUAGAUAUCAAGCGGAACACCGGUGGCGAAGGCGGCCUUCUGGACAGUGACUGACGCUGAGACGCGAAAGCGUGGGGAGCAAACAGG